GUCUCCGUGGCGCAAUUGGUUAGCGCGUCUGACUGUUAAUCAGGAGGUUGACAGUUCAAUCCUGUCCGGGGACG
rnacentral:tRNA from 4 species